rnacentral:lncRNA from 1 species
GGGUCCCUCUCUUCCUCCUAGCCUUUCCCUUUGCUGGCAGGAUGGAGGAGAUACCACCUGGGCCCCCAUAUUCCUGACUGUCACCCCAGAGCUCUGUAUUGAUAUUCUCCAGGAUGUUCCAGCAGUAUCAUUGGUGUCCAUUUGGCAAAUGUUUAACCCAGAUGCCUAAAGAAUAUGCUGCAUGAUGCAUCCUGGAAAGCCUUCCUGGGACAACUGGCAGACACACAUCUCAUCUCCCAUGAUGACCCUCAGGUGUGCUUCUGUUAUCAUUCCAGCACCAAGCACAAGAUGACAGGGAAUAGAUCAUGGCCCAUAAAGCAAAGGCUGUGUUGACAGCUCUGCACCACAGACUGCUGAUGGCUGUUGUUAUCCUGGGUAUAGAAUCAUAGAAUCAUGGAAUCACCAAGGUUGGAAAAGACCUCCAAGCUCAUCUAGUCUAAUCAUCCACCUACCAC